UACGAAGGGGGCUAGCGUUGCUCGGAAUCACUGGGCGUAAAGGGUGCGUAGGCGGGUCUUUAAGUCAGGGGUGAAAUCCUGGAGCUCAACUCCAGAACUGCCUUUGAUACUGAAGAUCUUGAGUUCGGGAGAGGUGAGUGGAACUGCGGAGUGUAGAGGUGAAAUUCGUAGAUAUUCGCAAGAACACCAGUGGCGAAGGCGGCUCACUGGCCCGAUACUGACGCUGAGGCACGAAAGCGUGGGGAGCAAACAGG
rnacentral:rRNA from 1 species